AAGGUUUGCUCGAGUUUGCGGCAAAUUUCGCGCAAAGUUUGCGUCAUUUUGCUAGCUGGGUAGGAUGAAAUGUCCAUACAGCCUGCCAUUCAUUAUGACUUAAAAAACGAUAGAAUUAUUGGCUUUGAGGAUUAGAGUAUAAAACGAAGAAAAUUUGCAGAUGACGCGGUAAUGUUUUACAUGUGAUGUCUUGCAUCGGGCAACCACAUGCCUCUUGGUUAUGAGUUUGUCAAAAUACGACAAAUACAAUACAGCUUGUAAGAUGUAUUAAAAAGUGGUUGACAUUUCUUAUAAAAUGUGGAUUCAAACCAAUAGCCACAAAUAGCUUCCGGACUGAGAUUAAACUUUCAAUGUAGCUCCUUGAUCACAUACAGUUAUAUUAAUUUAUUAAUUCAAGAAGCCAACUCUUUACAAUACAAAAUGUGUAUGAAUUCCAAAAAUACUUUAUUUGUAGAAAAGCACUAAAUUAUACCAUUUUAUGAUUAUGUACAUUUGCAAAAAGGAAUACGUAAUUUAUUAACAAAGAAUUUACUUAUUAAUAAAAAUACAAGAAAAAAUAAACAAUAUAUUUCAUAGGAUGAUGUUAUAACUAUAUACAAAAUGGAUAAAUAUUCAUUUCUACGACAGAGGCAGAUACCUAAACUAAAUGAUAAACACAUUUUCGCGAAUAUAAUACCUAAAAUGAAGGUUAAAUAUGCUACGCAAUAGUAUUGUAAGUACUGAGUCAUAUAGUAGCAAAUUUUAUAAAUGUAGUAUUGACUUGUAGUGAAGAUAAGAUAUAGUUUACUUAUCAAUAAAUAAUGUAUAAAUAAAACAAAUAUAAGUAAUAAAUAAUACAAAAUAAAAUAAAAUAAGAAAUAAGUUAAAAAUAAUAUAAGCAGGACUUCCGUUUCCGGUCGGAUAGGAGAUAAGUUUGUUAUGUUAUUGUAAGAAGUGAGAGAUACUGUGUGAGGGUGAUUUUGAGUGCAA